AUUGAACGCUGGCGGCAGGCUUAACACAUGCAAGUCGAGCGGGGUGAUGGUGCUUGCACUAUCACUUAGCGGCGGACGGGUGAGUAAUGCUUAGGAAUCUGCCUAUUAGUGGGGGGCAACAUUUCGAAAGGAAUGCUAAUACCGCAUACGUCCUACGGGAGAAAGCAGGGGAUCUUCGGACCUUGCGCUAAUAGAUGAGCCUAAGUCGGAUUAGCUAGUUGGUGGGGUAAAGGCCUACCAAGGCGACGAUCUGUAGCGGGUCUGAGAGGAUGAUCCGCCACACUGGGACUGAGACACGGGCCAGACUCCUACGGGAGGCAGCAGUGGGGAAUAUUGGACAAUGGGCGCAAGCCUGAUCCAGCCAUGCCGCGUGUGUGAAGAAGGCCUUAUGGUUGUAAAGCACUUUAAGCGAGGAGGAGGCUACUUUAGUUAAUACCUAGAGAUAGUGGACGUUACUCGCAGAAUAAGCACCGGCUAACUCUGUGCCAGCAGCCGCAGUAA
rnacentral:rRNA from 1 species